AUUAUAUAUUAAAACAAAUACAAAAGUUUUUCUAAAUAUUACUAUAUUUCCUAUAUAUAUGGUGAUAUUAAUUAUAUGAUCAAAUUGUUAGAUACAACUACACUGUAUAAAAUAGAGGAUGUUGUAUGAUUGCCAAUGAGAAAACUCAUCCAAUGAUAGACAAAAUGACAGCAAUUAACAACUGUAGCCUAAAGUAGGUCACCAUACAGUCUUAAACAAUGAGUAAAUCCCAUACCACACAGAGAGCUAUAAAAGACCCUGUAAUGACAAAUGUAAAACAAUUGAAACAAGAAAUUUGGCCUAGUUUAUGUACAAAAUAAUGAAAAAAAAAAACAAUAUGUGAUACAACAAACAACAACCACUGAACUACAGCCUCCUGAAUUGGGACAGACAUAAACAUGUGGCAGGGUUAAACAUGAAAGCUGGUGCCCAACCCUCCCCUUACCUGAAACAGUGGUGUAACAGUACAAAAUAAGAACAAAUUAUAAAAUAAGUUGAAAAAGUAUUAACUCA
rnacentral:lncRNA from 1 species